UGGGGAAUUUUGGACAAUGGGGGAAACCCUGAUCCAGCCAUCCCGCGUGUGCGAUGAAGGCCUUCGGGUUGUAAAGCACUUUUGGCAGGAAAGAAACGUCAUGGGUUAAUACCCCGUGAAACUGACGGUACCUGCAGAAUAAGCACCGGCUAACUACGUGCCAGCAGCCGCGGUAAUACGUAGGGUGCAAGCGUUAAUCGGAAUUACUGGGCGUAAAGCGUGCGCAGGCGGUUCGGAAAGAAAGAUGUGAAAUGCCAGAGCUCAACUUUGGAACUGCAUUUUUAACUACCGGGCUAGAGUGUGUCAGAGGGAGGUGGAAUUCCGCGUGUAGCAGUGAAAUGCGUAGAUAUGCGGAGGAACACCGAUGGCGAAGGCAGCCUCCUGGGAUAACACUGACGCUCAUGCACGAAAGAGUGGGGAGCAAACAGG
rnacentral:rRNA from 1 species